rnacentral:lncRNA from 1 species
UCCUGCCACAUUCCUGCAACUGCGAGGCCCAGCCCGCCGCUCCCCACCCCGCCUCCGCGCCGGGCCCAGGGCUUUCCUGCGUCCCCUCCACCGCCGGCUCGCCCCUGAGGAGGGGCUGGGCCAGGGCCUCGGCUGACCGGGAAGAAGGGGAGCAGAGAAAAACAUGAGUCACAGCCGUGUGUCACUGGAGCGCAUUUCAAUUCCCUGCAUCACAGGAGAUCCGCAUUUGCUACCAGCAGCGGCCGCGGCGGAGCCAGGCCGGUCCUCAGCGCCCAGCACCGCCGCUCCCGGCAACCCGGA